GCCCAGAUAGCUCAGUCGGUAGAGCAGCGGUUUCGUAAACCGCAGGUCGCAGGUUCAAGUCCUGUUCUGGGCU
rnacentral:tRNA from 1 species